rnacentral:rRNA from 1 species
GUCUGUUCGUUACAAAGAACAGUCUGGCCUGCCCACUGAUAUUUUUUUAAAGGCCGCGGUAUCUUGACCGUGCGAAGGUAGCAUAAUAAUUAGUCUUUUAAUUGGAGACUGGAAUGAAAGGUCGGACAAAAAGCAAUCUGUCUCAACUUUAAUAAUUGAACUUAACUUUUAAGUGAAAAGGCUUAAAUAACCUUGAAGGACGAUAAGACCCUAUAAAACUUUAUAUACAGAAAAAUAACUUUGUUUUUGUUUGUAUAGAAUUAUUUAUUUUUUUGUGUAUUUCGUUGGGGCGACGAAAGUAUAACAUCUAACUGCUUUAUAUUUAAACAAUUAUUUUUGAAAUUUAUGACCCUUUAUUAUAAAGACUUUAAGAAAAAGUUACUUUAGGGAUAACAGCGUUAUUUUUUUUGAGAGUCCAUAUCGACAAAAAAGUUUGCGACCUCGAUGUUGAAUUAAAUUUUCCUUAUAGUGCAGGAAUUAUAAAGGUAGGUCUGUUCGACCUUUAAAAAUUUACAUGAUUUGAGUUCAAACCGGCGCGAG